UAAUGGUAGAUUGUUGCGCGCGAAAAAGAAGGGCAAAUUAGUAAAAGCGCCUCCUCUCCCAACUGAUCGCGCAUUUUGUGAACACGAUCUCCCGGUGGUUCGUGAGGUUUCCGUCUACAAAAUCCCUCCUCGAACCACGUCCGGCGGCUAAAAUCCGAUAAGAUCUGGUCCGGCCGCCUCCGGGUUGUGUCGUGCAAGGACCGAUGUGAAAUCCGGUUGGAAGAUGCCAACUCCGGCGACCUCUUCGCUGCUUGCUUUGUUCCUGGUCAGCGGGACAACUCUGUCGAGAUAGUGCUCGACUCUUCUCGAGGAGAGACGGUGGCGCCGAUAUCAACGAAGAGAGCCACAUUGAUAUUCAUCCUGAUCCUGCUGUGAAUCACAGACUGAAGCCAUCAAGGGGAACUGGUAUGCUAUCUGCUACUGGGUUGUCAGGGUCUGGAACUGGAAAGCCAAAAUCUUGAACUUCCAAAAGUUGGCAAGGAUUUCGAGUCUCUUGGCCAUGUUGGCUUGAAGGUUCAAGUUCGAACCAUCUAGUGAACUUAAUACUAAAAACCCUUGACGUCUUCCGGUCAGGGCCUUGGGGCAGCCAUGGGUACCCUGGGUACAGGGAGAAAAGCUCCGAUUCCUAGUUAUUAAAAAAAAAAAAAGAACUUUUGAGUCUUUGCUCCACCAAAAUCAGGUCUCCUCUUCCACCCCUCCAAAUGAUCCGGCCGCUCGGAAGCUAUCUGCCAGUGCAUGCUGUGAUGUUGGUCAUGAGGUACAGAAAGACAAUGUAAGGCAUGCAACCGAUCCAUUAUCAUCAGAUCUUUCCCAACUUGAGAACACAGGUAGCUUGCAUCCGUGUGUCCCGACUAGCUUGCGUGCACCUCGACUAAUCACGGGUCAAUGCCUUACCUUACUACAUUUGGUCGACAAGAAAACUCGUAGGAUAUUAAAUCCGAGGUUGAUGGCCACCAUGGUUUAAACUCAUUCAUCUAAACCCGUUGCUAUUCAUAUUGGUCCUUAUUGACCACUAGGUCAUCCCAUGAUGAGAAAUCUUCCUUCUGCUCCAGCUUCGGCAAAGGCAUCGGCGUCAGGAUGGGCACCAUUCUGAUCAAUGUAAAUGUAGCCGGUGUUUGUUAUCCAAAGAUCUUAGUUUGAUGUUUUUUUUCUGGAGGUCGAGCAAUCUUUCAUUUUUUUUUCUUUGUUCAUCUAUAAGUGUGGAAGGAGCAAAAAAGGAGAAAGGGAAGUUAUAAAUGAUAAUACCAUAUACCAUCUUGGAAGAUAAUCUUGGAAUACUUGUAUAUACUUCUCCAGUUAUUUUCCCUACCUAAUGGAGAAAUUUAUCUUGGCUUGUCUCCGUAUUCCAUUUUAAUCCAUUGCCUACGGUUUCUGUUCUUGAUUGGCUUGAUUCCAUUUUGUAA